UACGGAGGAUGCAAGCGUUAUCCGGAAUUAUUGGGCGUAAAGAGUCCGUAGGUGGCGAUUCAAGUCUGCUGUUAAAGACCAGAGCUUAACUCGGGAAAAGCGGUGGAAACUGAAAAGCUAGAGUUCGGGAGGGGUAGAGGGAAUUCCCAGUGUAGCGGUGAAAUGCGUAGAGAUUGGGAAGAACACCAGUGGCGAAGGCGCUCUACUGGACCGAAACUGACACUGAGGGAGGAAAGCUACGGGAGCGAAAGGG
rnacentral:rRNA from 1 species